rnacentral:lncRNA from 1 species
CUGUACAUUUGAUUGCCAUCUGUACUUCCCUUGAAGCAGCUUUGCUUAUUACAGCCACACCUGCAUCUGUUUUGACUAGCCCACAUAACCUACACAUUUUUCAUCCAAAGCUAUCCCAUUACCUUAUUUAUGUCCAUUUAUUUUCAUAUAUAGUAUCUGCCAAAAUAGUAGCAAAAGUUUUAUCAAUGUGUAGAUUUCAAUCAGAAAAACCUAAGCAAAAGGAAAAAAAAGUGAUAUUCUAAAAGCCACACUUCUUUUAUCACCAGUGCAGUUUUUUCCAUCAUCAUAAACUUAGUUUUAUGAAAAUGUUAAUAUCUUGGAUUUAAACAUUGGGGUAGAAAUCAGGACAAAAUUUAAAUGUCAUAUCCAGGACUUAAUCUCAGAUAUUCUGGUAGAAGAUAUUUAGAUAAGGUUGUGGCUGCCUGUCAAGUUUUUUAAUUUUUUAAAUUAUAUAAUGUCAGAAAAUUAAAUCACAAAUGAGCCUUCCAGAUUGUGAGGAAAAUUACUUGGCUGAAAAUGACUUUGCAUAAUGCCCAAAUCUUGAAGUAUCUGCUCAGAUGUUUGUUCCAUCUGAAAUGCUGCCAAAUCCAUCUGUAUUGAGGAAAGAGCUAUGAGGUAGUUUCAGAGAAAGUGAAAACAAAACAAAGCAAAACAAAAAUGCUAUUACAGAAGUUGGACAGCCCAAUGUGUUAAGUAUUAUACACCUGGAACAAGAGCAGCAAAACUGAAGCUCUUUGGAAAGUUAUGGCAACAGUGGUCUGGGAAUUCUGGGCCUUUAGAAAUAAUCAUUCCCAGUGAUACAGGGAUGUGCAGCAUCCAGACACUGCUUAAUCACAGUGAGCUGCCGUCUUCCCUGAAUAAGUUGUAUCUUAUAACAUUGAAGUGAAUGAAAAUGUAUUAGUAUUUGAGAAUUUACUAUUCCUUCACCUCCUUGCACAUGUAAAUUAAAGAUGUUUUGGAAAAUAUGAGAACUUGAUGUUCACUGCCCUAGAGCACUAUUCUCCAACCUUUUAGAUUCCUGCAAUCUGUUAAUAAAAUAUUGUAGGACAACAACUCUAUAGACUGAUACAUGCUGCUCUCAAUCCAUAUACUACAUAUUAGGACAGCUUUUCUUUUCUAAAUGAGCAUGAAUAUAAAUAGAAAUUCUAGUAUUUUCUUCACCUACCCCAGUGAAUCAUCUUUAUAUUUUACUUGGGAAACUGCUACAGUUGGCUAGUGGGUCUUCACUUUUAUUGCUUUGAGAAAUGGAUAAAAGACAUAGACUAUCACCCCUCCAAAAAUGUGCAUAUGGCCCCAUACAAGACACAUGUACUGCCAGAGCUUGGGGAACUCCCUAGAAUCUACUCCUAGACCACCCUAGUGAAGUACCAUAGACCAUAUUGUCUAGAUGGGACAAAAUAAUAAAUUUUGACUAAGAACUUACUGUUUAGAGAGAAAAAAUAGUAAAUAAUGUUCAAAAUGAGAAGACAAUAACUGACAAGUCUGUGAUUUUUGGGUUAGAUGAGACCACUUUUGAUUUUUGAGGAAUAAAAGGAGUUAGUUUUUUGGUCCUGAUGUGUAAAAUGAUUCAUGGGGUUUCACAUACAGACAAGUAGUUUUCUUUUCAGCAAAUAUUUAACAUAUCUCUCAAUAUAUUUUUCACCAGUUUUUGGUAAAUAUGCAUUGCUAUAGGUAUACCAAGUUUUUUUUGUUAUGUUUAGUAACUAAUUUCAUUUUUUCUGUAUAUGUAAAUAUAGCUAUUGGACCCUGCAUUGAAAACCUUCUUAGUACUAACAACACUCCUUUUAUUAUUACCUUCAUAGUUACUUUAAAUGACAUAUUUAUUUCGAGUUUUACUUCUGGCUGAGUUGCAAAGUCUAUGAGAAUGUUACCUCCUGUCUCAGAAGCUUGUUAGUUAUUGUGCCACCUAAAUAUUGUAAUAAAAGUGUUUAAAUAAAAAUCUUCUUAAAAUUUAAAA